GAACGGAGGCGGCGUUCAGAAAUAGGGCGCUGGCUUUGCCAGGAGCGGCUCCUCUCCAAGCCUGGCGGUCACUGCCCUGUGUCCCCUUUUGGGCCUCUCCUGGUCCUCCUGGUUGGAUUAGGAGGCCUCUCAGCCCGGAGUCUGGGUCGCCGAAGUACAGGCCCCUUCACUGAAGCGACCCACGGCGCAGGGGUUUCUGGAAGCCAUCGCCAGGCUCCGAGUGUUCAGAUGCAGCUGCCAGGCUCAGGACGCAGAGAACUGGCUUCCAGCUCGCAGGAGCGCCUGUCCGUGGAAGAGAUACCACGGUGUGCAGGCACAGGGAAAAGACCACGUGAGGACACAGAGAGAAGACGGCCGUCUGCAAGCCAAGGAGAGAGGCCUCAGGUGAAACCAAACCUGCAGGCACCUUGAUCUUGGACUUCCAGCCUCCAGAAGCUUGAGAAAAGAAAUUUCUGUUGUUUAAGACACCCAUUCUGUGGUAUUUGUUCUGGCAGCCCUAACAAACUAAUAUAGGGAUCUAAAGA
rnacentral:lncRNA from 1 species